GAAUAUUGGACAAUGGGCGAAAGCCUGAUCCAGCCAUGCCGCGUGUGUGACGAAGGUCUUCGGAUUGUAAAGCACUUUACGCUGGGAGGAAGGGUUGAUGAUUAAUACUCUUCAAUUUUGACGUUACCGACAGAAUAAGCACCGGCUAACUCUGUCCCAGCCGCCGCGGUAAUACAGAGGGGGCAAGCGGUAAUCGGAAUUACUGGGCGUAAAGAGCGCGUAGGUGGUUCGUUAAGUUGGAUGUGAAAUCCCCGGGCUCAACCUGGGAACUGCAUCCAAAACUGGCGAGCUAGAGUAGGGCAGAGGGUGGUGGAAUUUCCUGUGUAGCGGUGAAAUGCGUAGAUAUAGGAAGGAACACCAGUGGCGAAGGCGACCGCCUGGGCUCAUACUGACACUGAGGUGCGAAAGCGAGGGGGGCAAACAGG
rnacentral:rRNA from 1 species